rnacentral:rRNA from 1 species
GAGCGAGAAAGGGGGGGCAACUCCCUGAGUAAAGCGGCGCACGGGUGAGUAACACGUGGGUAAUCUGCCCUGGAGUGGGGAAUAACACCGGGAAACCGGUGCUAAUACCGCAUACGAUCACGAGGUCUGCGGACUUUGUGAUGAAAGGAGCAAUUCGCUAUAGGAGGAGCCCGCGGCUGAUUAGCUAGUUGGUGAGGUAAUGGCUCACCAAGGCUACGAUCAGUAUCCGGUAUGAGAGGACGGUCGGACACACUGGAACUGAGACACGGUCCAGACUCCUACGGGAGGCAGCAGUGGGGAAUUUUUCGCAAUGGGGGCAACCCUGACGAAGCAACGCCGCGUGGGUGAUGAAGUAUUUCGGUACGUAAAACCCUUUCGACGGGGACGAAACCGCAAGGUUGACGGGCACCCGUAGAAGAAGCCCCGGCUAACUACCGUG